AUCUAACUGGUAGGGCAGUUCUCGUCCUGCACUCUGGGACAAGGCCCUGGAACCGGAGUCUAAUACCGGAUACUGACCCGCUUGGGCAUCCAAGCGGUUCGAAAGCUCCGGAGGUGCAGGAUGAGCCCGCGGCCUAUCAGCUUGUUGGUGAGGUAAUGGCUCACCAAGGCGACGACGGGUAGCCGGCCUGAGAGGGCGACCGGCCACACUGGGACUGAGACACGGCCCAGACUCCUACGGGAGGCAGCAGUGGGGAAUAUUGCACAAUGGGCGAAAGCCUGAUGCAGCGACGCCGCGUGAGGGAUGACGGCCUUCGGGUUGUAAACCUCUUUCAGCAGGGAAGAAGCGAAAGUGACGGUACCUGCAGAAGAAGCGCCGGCUAACUACGUGCCAGCAGCCGCGGUAAUACGUAGGGCGCGAGCGUUGUCCGGAAUUAUUGGGCGUAAAGAGCUCGUAGGCGGCUUGUCACGUCGGCUGUGAAAGCCCGGGGCUUAACCCCGGGCCUGCAGUCGAUACGGGCAGGCUAGAGUCCGGACCCGGAGAUCGGAAUUCCUGAUGUAUUGGGUAAAUGCGCAGAUAUCAGGAGGAACACCGUUGCCAAAGGUCGUUUUUCUGUGCCGAUUCCUGAUGCUAUACGAU
rnacentral:rRNA from 1 species